rnacentral:rRNA from 1 species
UACGUAGGGUCCAAGCGUUGUCCGGAUUUAUUGGGCGUAAAGAGCUCGUAGGUGGUUCGCUAAGUCGGAUGUGAAAACUCGGGGCUCAACCCCGAGACGCCAUCCGAUACUGGCAUGACUUGAGUCUGGUAGGGGAGAUCGGAAUUCCUGGUGUAGCGGUGAAAUGCGCAGAUAUCAGGAGGAACACCGGCGGUGUAGACGGCUUUCUGGACCGUAGCUGACGCUGAGACACGAAAGCGUGGGUAGCAAACAGG